GAAAAAUGUAUCAACCCCUACAAAAAAAUGUCCGCAUAAUAAUUCACAUUUCCUCUUGCUGUAGGAUUAUUUUCCUACUCUAGCAAACUGUGUCAAAUUAAGAUCCUACAUCUGUAGUAGUUGGCUAGUAGUAUAGUGUGGCAGUACUUGUGUUACUGGUAUAGUUUUGCCGCAGCUUGAUAGUAGCAGUUGUUGUCGAUGAAGUGAUCUCUAGCACGUUGUCUGGUGAUAGAUCAUCAUGCGCUGUAAGAUGAUAUUUGGAAAAGAAUAGCAACUAAACCGGUUUAAAUGCUACCCCAACCGCCAGACAGGCCUGCCUACAAUUUACGGUCAUUUACGUCUAUGCAUUCUUAUAAAUGCUCAGUACAACCACACCUUUACGCAACACAAAAACUAUUGUCUUAACCUUCGCACUGAGAACAAGAGUUCCAAUAAGUCAAUAUGCUGCCGGAGGAUAUUGGACUCAGUUCUCAGCUCCUCAUCCACUUUUCUUUUCACCCCUGAAAAAGAAUGGAGACGUAUUUUUUAUUCCGUCUUUUGGGUUGUGAGGCAGGUUGUCUGUCAGUGAGGUGUGGCGACAGUCUGUCUACAAACCGUAAACUGAUAUGGAAAGUGCUGGAGGAAAACGGGCAAGAAUCCGGAUUUGCAAGCCGAGAUAUCGAUCUACCUCAAGCACCUUAACAAAGACUCACCUGUUUGCCUUGUUCAUACUUUAUUUUAUGCGGUCGAAUGCUUGUUUUGUUUGACUUUUCUUUUAUUUCCAUGGAUCUGAGCUUUGAUACACUUUUGAGAGUACAUAAACACCGUGUUGUACCUGGACAUCCCCAUCUCCCGUGGAGCUCCGGUGGUUGAAAGUCAAGACCACUCCUCUCCCUCCCGCCUCACCCACUCAUACUUCGAAACAGAAAAUUACUCUUCGUUGUAUUUCGAAUCAGGCCAGGCAUAAAAAUAGGCUUAUUCAUUCAGCCGACCAGUGUCCAAUAAACAUCCAACGUGAGAUACAACUAAUUACUCCAUUAUGGCCCCAGUUAAGGCUUUAUAAAUAGGAUCCACUAAAAUGUAGUUUACUAUUUAUCAAACUUCUUCUUGAGCUAUUUGAUAAACAUAUCAAAAUUAGUUUAUUUGGCUUGUAAAGUCCUACCUAUUCGGGCCUAUAGGGGCGCGCAGAUGCUUGCAGAUCCCUCCAUUCAUAGCCAGCACUCGGUUGAACAAUGAUAAUAUUACAGUAUUUUCUGUUGUGUUGUGUUAUGUGUUGUGGUGUUGUUGUUCUGAAUAUCCUUUGUAAAUAAAUCAUCAUUUUAAGUACAACAGUCAGGGACACGCCACACAGCGGCGGCAGGUAGUCUAGUUGUUAGAGCGCUGGGCCAGUAGUAAUCGAAGGGUUGCUUGAUCGAAUCCGCAAGCAGACAAGUUAAACAUCUGUCGUUCUGCCCCUUAUCAAGACAGGAAACCCACUGUUCCUGGGCUCUCAUUGUAAAAAAAAAUGUGUUCUUAACUUACUUUACAUUUGGCAACACAUCUUCAACCUGCUUAUGACAAACUUUGUCAGCCCUAUUUGCAUGACAGGUUGAAUUAAUCCUUGUAUUACGCAGACCUAACAUAUUCUGUUGACAUUUUGCUCUCACACUCUGGAGUAAUAGCUGCCUAACUAAUUUAUUUAGCUACUGUGUUAACAGGUUUGGGCUUUGAGUGCUCUGGUGACCUAUAAGCCAACAGAAUAGAUCCGUAAGCUAUCUCAUGUAGCCUAUUAGUGCUAAAGAUGAGGGUAAUACAUCUAACCUUAGAAUGAGGUAAAACCCUCUCCACCAAACAUACUAAAUUAUGAUUUUGUAGCAGUUUUUGAACUCUAAUUCAUCUUCUCAUCAAUAGAGCGUUUGCAGUGUUGUGAUGGCUGUAUCUCAUGAAGAAGUGUUCACUAUAAGUAGAGUUAUAGUGUGUGUGUCUGUGUGUGUGUGUCUGUGUGUGUGUAAGGGCUGAUGUUCUGUGAUCAUGGGUUUUGUUAUGUGGAAACAGUUGUGUUUGGGGUGCCCUCUUGCUGACUUUAGCCCUUGGCCCUCUAAUAGUCUGAUCAUGAGCCUGUGACUCUCUGAAUAGUUUUCACUACUCAUCCCUGCCUGUCUGCCUGCCUGCCUGCCAGUGUGUGUGUGUGUGCUUGCCUGUGUCUGUGUGUGUACGUGCAUACAUUUAAGGUGUUUAAUCAAAACAAGUCCAUUCACUCAGCAUUUAGUUGUUCAUUUUAAUAGGAAUUUUAUUUGUAUGUAUGCACAAACAUUAAGCAGCUUGUUGUUGUAACCCUGUUAUGAUGAUAAUACUGACCAACAAUGCCUUAGGGAGCUUAUAGCACAAACACAUGAAGCAGGUUCAGUUGUAUUAUAUAUACAGCCAUAUACACUAAAUCCGGGUUGCAUCACUGCCUGGUAUGGCAACUGCUUGGCCUCCGACCGCAAGGCACUACAGAGGGUAGUGUUUACUGACCAGUACAUCACUGCCUGGUAUGGCAACUGCUUGGCCUCCGACCGCAAGGCACUACAGAGGGUAGUGUUUACUGACCAGUACAUCACUGCCUGGUAUGGCAACUGCUUGGCCUCCGACCGCAAGGCACUACAGAGGGUAGUGUUUACUGACCAGUACAUCACUGCCUGGUAUGGCAACUGCUUGGCCUCCGACCGCAAGGCACUACAGAAGGUAGUGUUUACUGACCAGUACAUCACUGCCUGGUAUGGCAACUGCUUGGCCUCCGACCGCAAGGCACUACAGAGGGUAGUGUUUACUGACCAGUACAUCACUGCCUGGUAUGGCAACUGCUUGGCCUCCGACCGCAAGGCACUACAGAGGGUAGUGUUUACUGACCAGUACAUCACUGGGGCCAAGCUUCCUACCAUCCAGGACCUCUAUACCAGCCUGUGUCAGAAGAAGGCCUAAAAAUGGUCAAAGACUCCAGCCCCCCUCGUCAGACUGUUCUCUCUGCUACUGCACGGCAAGCGGUACCGGAGCGCCAAGUCUAGGUCAAGUCUAGGUCUAAGAGGCGUCUAAACAGCUUCUUCCCCCAAGCCAUAAGACUCCUGAACAUCUAAUCAAAUGGCUACCGAGACUAUUUGCACUGCCCCCUUUACGCUGCUGAUUCUCUCUGUUAUUAGUCACUUUAAUAACUCUAACUACAUGUACAUAGUACCUCAAUUACCUCAACUAACCAGUGCCCCCCGAACAUUGACUCUGUACCGGUACCCCCUGUAUAUAGCCUCGCUAUUGUUAUUUUACUGCUGCUCUUUAAUUAUUUGUUACUUUUUAAUUUUAAUUUUAUUUUUUAAAGUAUUUUUCUUAAAACUGCAUUGUUGGUUUGGGCAUGUAAGUAAGCAUUUCACUGUAAGGUCUACUACACCUGUUGUAUUCGGCGCAUGUGACAAAUAACAUUUGAUUUGAUUUGAUCCCCAAUUGUAGAGCUCCUGUCCUAUUGAGGGUCUAUAUGCCUAGUCGGGCAUCUGCCUUAUCUGUUGUCUUGGGAAUCAGAAGAAUAUGUUGGCAUCCACUGCAUCUCUCCGACAGUCCAAUCUGGCGAGACAUGUUUUGCCAAUAGUUUAGCCAAUGCUGCUAGCCAUAAAUGUAUGUUUGUUAAUAACAUUAAAACAUUCUCUUCAAAUGAAAAGUAGGUUUGUAUAGCAUCAGUAUACUGUUAGAAUGUUAGCCUACAUGCCUUGUAUGGAUAGUAUGUUCUUCUUCUAUGCCAACAGAAUAGUGGCCCUGUGCUCUAACAAUGGAAUCCCCAUGAGACUUGUUAAAAUGUCACCUUCUCCCCCGUCAAUCAGGCUAGUCACUAACUAGAUCUGCGCUGUUGGGAAAACUACACCAAUCCCACAGAUGUGCAGGUUGUGUUACUUUUGUCAACUUUACAUGAGGUUCCUGAGGGUAUCCUAGAUAUACACUAAUAUUACCUUGACAACAAUAAAAGCAGAGGGAGAGUAUCAGCUAGGUUUAGAUAGAUUUAAAUUGAUUGAAGUUGACGUGAAUGAGGUAAGGUAGAGAGCUGCAUGCAGCCUUAUAGAAGUAUGAUAGUCAUAGUAUUAGAGUAAUACAAUUUGAAUAUAAUUAGAAUAUGAGUUCAAUGGGUCUGUCCAGCCAGCCUCAACUCCUAGCAAAUUUGUGGGGUGGAUCAAAUGACAAAAAAAUUGUCACAUUGUUUUCUUGGUAGGUAUGCAUCAUGUCAUGAUUCCCACAAAAUAAAGAGAACCAUCUCUAAAGAUAAACCAUCUCCUUUUGUUGUUGAUAUUAAAGAAAACUUUCACCUAAUUGAUGAAAUAAUUUCUUGUCAUUUUGAAUUACAUUGUACUACUGGAUGUGCUACUGUACUGCACCAAACACUGCAAUUGAAAAUCACGUCAACAUCAUCAUCCUCUGAUUCUAUUUGGCUCUCCCCUUCCACGACAAUCAAAUGAUGUGCUAUUGUUUCGACAAUAGUCUUUAGAGCAGAGCCAAUACAACUCGUUAGAUGUGUUAUUGUCUUCCUCCCAGUCCCAGCCUCUCUAGCAGUGGGAGCAACAGUAGACUGCAUCCGCCCCAUGAUGUGUUGCUCACCCAUGCUGAGAAUGUUUACUGUUGUAAUCAAGGUCCAUGUAACUUGUUUGUGAAAUGUUUUGCCUUUAUGUUUUAGAGGUGCUAUAUAAUUUGCAAAUAGUGGGGCAUGAAGUCACAGUUUGAUUAAAUGUCUGUCUGCAAAAAUGAAAACAAAAUAAGCUAUCUACAAAAUGGAGAGGUUAUGUUUGAAAAUAAAAUGAUUUCUCGCUUCCGAAGAGAAGCCGAUUUAACAUUCAGCAAAUGGGAGAGCUCGCACUUGUAUUUUCAUACGUACCAUUUCUAUUCCUAUUUAGAAGAACAUUAUGGAUACAUAAUGAAAUGCAUGAUUGUUUAAUGUGACUUAGAUUUAACUUUACUCGAUUCUGUUUCCAUGUUUUUCAAGAAGCGAGCUAUUCUUUACUUUUUGUAAACAUUAUACAUCAGCCUUAUAUAAAUAAUUACACAUCAACACCAAUACACCGGCUGGUGACAGAAGUAUCAUGCCUAGAUGUCAGCAUGUUUACGUUUUCUAAUAAUACCAUGUUGCAUACAUAGCUUGAAACAUAUGUGACACCACUAUAUUGUGUUUAGAUGAUGAUGUAACCACUCUGAGACUUUGCAUGGAGCUCCUGGGUUACUAUCUGUGUUUCCCCAACAUUUCCUGAAGUUUGCUGACAGAAAGGAGACUGCGGCUCUAAACAGGCUUUUCUGUGUAUUAAACAGCUCUCAGCCCAUGGGAUUUCUCAAAGAGGGGUCUGAACUGUCAGAGACCUAUCAUAGCACUAAAUGGAAUAAACAUGGACAAACACUUGAUUAUGCAUGUUGUUGCUUGCUAGUGUAGUAAAUUGUUAUUAUAAUAUUUUUUUCCCUAAGGUCUUGGUGGGUCUGUUAAAGUUGAAGCUUGUGCAGAUUCAGGUUCAUGCUCUUUGUUCCACAUGGAUCUGUCUAAGUGUUGUUUUAGGGUAAAAGAAAUCCCCUUGACAUUUUGACAUUCUACAAAUAAAACGUGUUGGUGCAUCUGGUUUGCUUGGUGCUGUUUGACACCACUGUCUCAUUUUGAAUGGUGCAAAUUACACUUGACAUUUAAAAAAAAUGUACUUGCUGAAAAAUAUUGAAUAUAUUAAUAUUUAUUUCAGUUUAUUUAUUUUUUGGUUGCAGUGGGAGAAACAAACCAGACUUUUUGAUGUUAUUCAAUGAUGUUAGCUUGUAUUGUCAAACCUGGGUUUAACUUCCCGUGUAUACAGUCAAUAAAUAUACGUGUCUGUUUGAUGUUGUAAUGUU